UCGGGCCACACAGCGCGCCACUUACUGGUGACACCCUAGCUUUAGCGCAAUUUCGUUCUGGAUUCAUUUUCAUAAGGAUUCGACGUAAUCAUGGAGUGCCGGCUGUCGACUACCUGACGCCCUCCCCCUCCUCCUUUAUCCAGGCUUAGGACCGGCAAUGUAAGAUAAACUUACACAGGCGGAGUUAACGGAACACGCUAGAACUGAAACAUUAAAAACAACAUGUACCCAUUUCAAAGACCAAAAAUCCUGCAAGGACAAAAAAAAAAUCCGAGAAAAUCAGUACAUCAGUACUCCCUGCAAAACCCCAAAAUCAGAAAAUUAGAAAAAGAACCCAAAUCAGUGGCAUGGUCCUUGUUUCUCCAUUAAUCAGUAGGUAAUGACCUAAUGAAAAAGAACCCAAAACAGACGGCUUAAAUUAUGGAAAGUGCUUAUAAAGCUCAUGAAUAACUUUCAAAGCCUGCAUUCCACAGUGUGCACACGCACAAACAUAAAAUAUACAUGCAUAGUUAAUUUUAGACAAUAAUACCUCAGAACAUAAGUUGCAAUUUGGGACUAUUUGGUUGACUCAAAAGAAAUUGAUGGGUUAGAAAACCACAAAAAAAAUACAAAGACGGAUGUUUUUAUGUCGUUCAUUUCUUACGUCGACAAAACACACACACCUGUGUUUUAAUGCUCCUCCAAUACUCAAUGAGAAGGCACCAGGCAAAAAGAAGGUCAAGGCUGGAAAGAAGCUUCCAAAGAGAACAAUAUAUAAAGCAGACCACAAAAAUUAGACAAAACCCAAAAACUAAACAGUAGAAAAACCUCUAAAAUAUAUAAAUAUAUAUAUAAUUAAAUAAUUUAAAAAAAAACUAAA
rnacentral:lncRNA from 1 species